CAAAGUUAUAAUUUGCUACAUUUGUAAGGUAAGGAAGUCAAUAAAUAAGUGAAUUUUCAACAUUAUUAGUCAGGUUUUCCACAUCAGUUUAUUUUUCAAUUAAACUUUACAAAUUCAAUCUGCUUAAAACGUCUUCAAAGUCAACAUCAACAGUAGUGGGUUUCCUGGUGUAAAUCAAUUUUUUUGCUGUAUACAAAUGUUAAAAUAGCGCAGAAUCCAGACCAAAAUGCCUAAAGAUUCGAAUGUUCGAGAACGUUGUCACGCGACCCAAAACUGAUCAAAGUGUAGUAGCUGACAGAAUAGAACCAGUAGAGAGUAUCACUUUGCAGUUCCAAAAAAUUUUCGGAAGUUGGAAAAAAAAUUGCGCCUAUGCGGAUAGUUCAGCAGUCCAAUUCCAAUAGGAAAAACCAGUACACUAAGAGGCUACAGUAGCAAAGAAUUGGUAGAAACUUCCCAUAUACAAUAUCAGCAGUUCAAUAGCAAUAAAUCAAACAGCAACUGUUUGUUGGAUGGAAGUUGGAUUUGCCCAGUACUGUUAAAUGUUAUUUAGUUUAUUAUGUUAUAAAUAAGAACACUUUUGUGACACGAUGUGAAUAUAUUUGAGUGUUUUAUUCUU